rnacentral:rRNA from 1 species
GAGGUGAACCUGCGGAAGGAUCAUUGU